CCAACAGCCAACAGCUACUGCUCUGUUUCUAAUGAAAUCAACACUGGCCGGCUGCAAGCACACGCGUGAGUGUGCACGUCCUUACAAGGCUGAGAGAACGUGUACAUUAGUUUGCAUUGCCACUGCACAACGGAGUGAUGUACAACACGGUGACGGUAAAACAAAUGAACGAGCUCGCUGAUGGUCUUAAAAAAAAGUGUUUGCAAUUCUUGCAACAGCUGGCGAGUGUGAACCUCUAUUAGUGCUCAAAAAUGAGUUAGAGCAUUAAAGCUGCUGAUUGCAAGCCUCUGAAAAAUGUACCUCAUCUCCCAAUUUAAAGGUGACCGGGCUUCAACUCUACAGUUGGAGGAACCAAAUCAGUGAAUCUACCACAUCUGUACAGGAUGUGCAGGAUGUGCCGUUGGCACGUAGAAGAGGAG
ensembl:lncRNA